GAUGAACGCUAGCUACAGGCUUAACACAUGCAAGUCGAGGGGCAGCAUGGUCUUAGCUUGCUAAGGCCGAUGGCGACCGGCGCACGGGUGAGUAACACGUAUCCAACCUGCCGUCUACUCUUGGACAGCCUUCUGAAAGGAAGAUUAAUACAAGAUGGCAUCAUGAGUUCACAUGUUCACAUGAUUAAAGGUAUUCCGGUAGACGAUGGGGAUGCGUUCCAUUAGGUUGUUGGCGGGGUAACGGCCCACCAAGCCUUCGAUGGAUAGGGGUUCUGAGAGGAAGGUCCCCCACAUUGGAACUGAGACACGGUCCAA
rnacentral:rRNA from 1 species